UGGCUCGUCCGUCCUUGUCCUCUUUCCUCUCGGUGUUUCUGUAGUUUGGGCUUCUCUCCCGGCUGUUUGAGUGAUAAAGAGAGGCGAGGCCUCGCUUCCCAGCUGCGAGGAGGGAAUUCCGGCCUGUCAGGGCAGAUAGGCCCAUUUCCCCAGAAUCGUUGAAGUGUUCCUUUUGUUGAAAAGAUGAUUAUUAGGAGACACCUUCGCCAGCAGCGUGUACAUGUCACCACACGUCCCCAGGGAGUGGAGCCCUGUGAGCGUUUGCAAGAGGUGUUUCGGGCAGGCUCAGGGAGAGGUGGCAGCGUGGCCUGUGCCCUCAACGCUCUCCCUGCGAGGACCAGAGGGCGACCCGGGACCUGCUGCGCCCAGACACCUGGCUGCAAGCUUCCCAGGGCUGGGUCUGCUGAAGACACAGGCAAGACAGGAGAACAAGGGUGAACUCUGCAGAGAUCGGGGCCGGUUGCUAAAGUGCCUACAGAC